rnacentral:rRNA from 1 species
UACGUAGGUGGCAAGCGUUGUCCGGAUUUACUGGGCGUAAAGAGCGCGCAGGCGGUCGUUUAAGUCGAAUGUGAAAGCCCCCGGCUCAACUGGGGAGGGUCAUUCGAUACUGAUCGACUUGAAGGCAGGAGAGGGAAGUGGAAUUCCGGGUGUAGUGGUGAAAUGCGUAGAUAUCCGGAGGAACACCAGUGGCGAAGGCGACUUCCUGGCCUGUUCUUGACGCUGAGGCGCGAAAGCUGGGGGAGCAAACGGGGAUUAAGAAAC